UAUAUACCCACAAAAUCUUUCUUUUUAUCGCUAGAUGUUUUACUGAUACCUUAAUUUUUUUAACUCUGGCCCUUCUUUUGUUUCCCGGAAAUUCUCUCUCAAAUUUCAUUUCCCUCCCAUAAUGUGUUCAUCCCUUAACCCUAACCACGCUGUCACUCAAUUUCAUCAUCGCUCCUGGCCUCGCUCCUGGUCGCCAUCUUCACCGAUCUGUCUUCUCCGCGGUGGACUCCGGCGACCGUCGCCAUCUCGUCGUUCAACCAAACCUCCAUCUUCAUGAGUUUGAGCCUUUGGGUAGCAGGUUCUCAUGGCUCCGCCCUAGCCAUAGUGGAUGUUGGACUCAUUCACUAGGAGAGGGGCGAGAAGCUCAAGGCCCUCCAUUUCCAUCCCAAGGCUGCUGAGCUUGGAAACCCUUUCGAACAAUGCAAUUUAGGGAUUUCGUAACUCCAAGGGUUUACACUGACUCUUCCACACAGUAGAACCUUCCAUUUUUUAUGCUCAAUUUUCUAUCGUGUUGUUGAUGUUCCUUUUACUGAUAUUGUCCAGGUUAUUUCUUCAAACAAGAAUGUCAGAAGAGAUGGAAAAAGCUAAUUAGAAACUAGGAUGCAAAUAGAAGAACGUGAAGCCUUUGAUUGUUCACGGAGGCAAAUUCUUACUUGAAUGUACAGUUUUAGCAAUUCUUGGGAAGAGAGAGUAAUGCUAGUGAUAUGGGAAAAAAGGGGAGUUAGUUUGCUGCAAUCAAGAAGGUUUUCACACACUGCCCAAGUGGAAGGAUUCAGAUAGUAAAAACUCAAAAGAGAAGAAGAAGUGAUAGGAAAACAAAGGCAUGGAGAGACCAAUUCUUUCAUCCCCAUCUUCAGGGAGCCAAGUAGCAUUGAGAAAAUAGUUGGGGACUUUGAAAGAGAGCAACAACAGAACCAAUAUGCCUCAGCUACUAAAAUCCAGGCUGUUUAUAGAGGUUAUAUGGAUGCCCAAAGUGCCAUAAAUGAUAUGACAGGAUAUUAAUAUUUGGGGGAAUGUUUAUCCAAUGCUUGUGGCUCUUCCUUACCUUCACCAAAGCAAUGGUUGUGUUAUUAUCAAUGCAUCAAUUGCAAGCCUUUACCAAGAUGAGUUUAUAUGGUGUAAGUAUAAUAGUUUAUGCAUUAAGUUUGUCAUUCUCUGUUUUCUUUAUGAUUCUCUGUUCUAUUGCCUUUGGUACAACUUGGCUUAGGAAUUUCCAAAGGCUAAUGGGAUUGGAUUCAGAUUGAAAUCGUCUACAAGUGAUAUUUUUUAGUUAGCUACCAACUUAUUUUUUCAAAUUGGGUUGUUAUUCAUGCUAUUGGGAAAAAAGCAAAUUACCCUAUAUUUUGAGUUACUUUAUGUAAGCUUUGUUAUGUUGUUUUCUAGAAUAAAGUAGUAUUAAGUUUUAUCUGA